rnacentral:lncRNA from 1 species
GAUAAGGCCCUUCUCUCUGGCCCCCUCUCCAACCUGCAGUUCCCUGUCCAUCUUGGCCAAGUUCAUCUGAUUUGCAGAUGGGGAACCUGCCUGGCACGAAUCCUAUGGUCCCUCUUCCUUUGGGAAAUCAAGAGCAAAGCUCCCUCCCAACUCGUGGUAUUACCCGAGCAGAAUAGAGGCCGGCUGUGUGCGUUGAAGAAAUGAAUGAAGUGAUCGGGAGCUGAGUGCCGGCGGAGACCGGCCCCCCUGGGCAUAUGUGAAAACGUGGGGACCCCACUGAGCUUUCAAAAUCCAAAGAAGAGAAUCCGGAGGAAAGAUCUGUAUCAUUUGCUGGGGUGUAAGAUGUGCAAGGAUAUUAACAAUUUAACAAACAUGUAUCAAAGGGAGGUAUAAGUACGAUUUUCCGUGAUAAUUUUCUAUUGGAAGCAUGAAUGAUACAUAGACAUAUAUUUUCUUGAUCUGGUUUAGUAAAGUAUUAUUAAUAUUAGAUA